rnacentral:lncRNA from 1 species
AGGGAAGCUAAGCUCAGACAGCAGCAGCUGCUGCGGAAUCGUCCACCCGCUGCAGAUCGAUGCCGAUGACAAUUGACUAUCAGCCCUAUGACCUGCAACUCUGCAGAUCGUGACACCAUCUCCAUUCUGCAUGGGUGUGAGUGGAGCCUGGGACUGCAGACCACGCCUCCAGAGAGUAGACUGCCCACCUGGGUGCACCAGAAGUGCUGAGCACUGGACCCUCAAGGCUUCCUCUGUAGGCUGGCACCAAUACCCACCUCCUAGGGACCGUGAAGGUUAACUGAACUGUUCCCAGCAUUGCCUCCAAGGAGUAGAUCCAGAAUUCUGGAGCUCAUGUUGCUCGCACCACAAAGGCAAAUGAUUAGAGACAAGCAUGAAGCUUUCCAUUAGGCUUUGUUCAGAGAGCUGGCCAUCAGAGAAGGCAGCACAUGAAUAUGCUUUGGAAAAUGCUUCACAUCUCACUUCCAGCCAGAAGAUUGUAUGGAGUCACAGGGACAGAGACAGUCAGCCAUUCCAAAGUUCACGAUUGCCCCACUCUGGUCAGGUGAUGUGAUUCUUAAAAUAAACCUUUCCUCCCC